rnacentral:rRNA from 1 species
GAUGAACGCUGACAGAAUGCUUAACACAUGCAAGUCUUUGGCGAAUCUGUGCUUGCACAGGCUAGCCAAGGCGGACGGGUGAGUAACGCGUAAAGAACUUGCCCUGCAGACAGGGAUAACAGACGGAAACGACUGAUAACACCUGAUACAGUUGCCGGCACGCAUGUGCCUGGCAAUGAAAAGAGAUGCUGCAGGAGAGCUUUGCGUCCUAUUAGCUUGUUGGUGAGGUGACGGCUCACCAAGGCGAUGAUAGGUAGCCGGCCUGAGAGGGUGAACGGCCACGAGGGGACUGAGAGACGGCCGUUACUACUACGGGAGGCAGCAGUGGGGAAUAUUGGACAAAGGGGGCGACCCUGAUGCAGCAAUUCUGUGUGCACGAAGAAGGUUUUCGGAUUGUAAAGUGCUUUCAGCAGGGAAGAAGAAAGUGACGGUACCUGCAGAAGAAGCGACGGCUAAAUACGUG